rfam:Lucilia cuprina strain LS Scaffold125, whole genome shotgun sequence.
AAAAAGUCUUUUUUCAAAGACAUCCAAUUUAGAUAUUAAAUAUCUA